AACGCACAUUGCGCCCUUUGGUAUUCCGAAGGGCAUGCCUGUUCGAGCGUCAUUAUCACCCCUCGAGCCCCUGUGGCUUGGCUUUGGACGGUCUGGUUAGGCGACUGACCCCUCCUAAAGACAAUGACGGCGGCCUCGCAGGACCCCCGGUACACUGAGCUUCUUAACUGAGCACGUAUCGGAUCGAGGGUUCUCGGGGCACGGUCUCCUUUCCCCCCUCCCCUCGGGGCGGUGGGAAAACAAUCUUUCUCAGGUUGACCUCGGAUCAGGUAGGGAUACCCGCUGAACUUAA
rnacentral:misc_RNA from 2 species